GACUACCGGGGUAUCUAAUCCUGUUUGCUCCCCACGCUUUCGAGCCUCAGCGUCAUUAACCGUCCAGUAAGUCGCCUUCGCCACUGGUGUUCCUCCUAAUAUCUACGCAUUUCACCGCUACACUAGGAAUUCCACUUACCUCUCCGGUAAUCUAGCCUUGCAGUUUCAAAAGCAGUCCCGGGGUUGAGCCCCGGGCUUUCACUUCUGACUUGCAUGGCCGCCUACGCUCCCUUUACACCCAGUAAAUCCGGAUAACGCUUGCCCCCUACGUAUUACCGCGGCUGCUGGCACGUAGUUAGCCGGGGCUUCUUAGUCAAGUACCGUCAUUAUCUUCCUUGCUGAUAGAAGUUUACAUACCGAAAUACGUCUUCCUUCACGCGGCGUCGCUGCAUCAGGGUUUCCCCCAUUGUGCAAUAUUCCCCACUGCAGCCGCCCGUAGG
rnacentral:rRNA from 1 species